AUGGCUGAGACGGGAGGCGCACGUUGUUUGCAUGCAAGCCUUGAUGUGUUGGCUUCUGAUGUUCACUCCAGGCUGGAGUUCCACAAGAGUGCCUAUACGGACUACGCCGGCAUCAACAAUGCGCUUCACUGUGUCAUGGAGGAAAAAGCAACGCUUCUGCUACAACAGAAUGCUGUCACUGAAAAGGACAAACUGAUCACUGAAAAGGACAAACUGAUCGCUGAACUGAAAACAAGGAAUGAAGAACAGGCAGCAGAGAUUGAAUCUCUAAAGGAAGAGCUGGAAGCAAGGGAGUCUAGCCAUGUACUACUAGCACUGCAGGGAAGUGGUCUUCAGAGUAGCCAGUCUGGAAGAAAUAAACGGACACGAGAAUCUGAUGGCAACGGUGAAGUUGCUGAUGAGCAUGGUGUUAUGGACAAUCCUGAUCAAGAUGAUCAAGGUUUAAGCACUGAGCUUGAGAAUGCUAAAAAGGAACUUUCUGAUAUCCACUCUAAGCUGAUCAAGAAUAUAGGCGAAUUGAGCUACAAGCCGUUCCAACAGGCAUGCCUUAAGAAGCUGCCUCCAGAAGAAGCUUCGAAGAAAGCUUCUGAGUUGUACAACUUUUGGCAGAAGCAGCUGCUGAACCCAGAGUGGAAUCCCUCCAAAACUGUCAUGGAGAAAGGUAACCCUAAGGAAGGUAUCUCUAAGGAGAUUGAUGUCGAUGAUGCCGAUCUGCUAAAGCUACGUGCUGAAUGGGGUGAAGACGUGUACAAGGCUGUGGCGAAUUGUUUGGUGGAAAUCGAAAAAUGUGGCAGGCUGACGGACAGAACCAUCAUACCCGUGAUUUGGAAUCAAAAGGUGGACAGGACAGCCACUCGCAGUGAAAGUGUUGAGUACAUGUGCAGCCAAGUGAGGCGUCUGAGAACUCGCAGAAACAUUAGUACUGAUUGGAACGCCAUAAUGGUAUUCAUAGUUUUUGAUGCUUGUGAGAAAUGGCAAUGCAAACUAGUAGGAGUAUCUCUUAGGAGCUGGGAAAGCCAAACAUUUUUGGCCUUCUAA
rnacentral:rRNA from 1 species